rnacentral:rRNA from 1 species
AUUGAACGCUGGCGGCAUGCUUUACACAUGCAAGUCGAACGGUAACAGGCCGCAAGGUGCUGACGAGUGGCGAACGGGUGAGUAAUGCAUCGGAACGUGCCCAGUCGUGGGGGAUAACGCAGCGAAAGCUGCGCUAAUACCGCAUACGAUCUAUGGAUGAAAGCGGGGGACCGUAAGGCCUCGCGCGAUUGGAGCGGCCGAUGUCAGAUUAGGGAGUUGGGGGGGUAAAGGCACACCAAGCCAACGAUAUGUAGCUGGUCUGAGAGGAAGACCGGCCCCAAUGGGAAUGGUACAAGGCCCAGACUCCUACGGGAGGCAGCAGUGGGGAAUUUUGGACAAUGGGGGGAAGCCUGAACCAGCAAUGCCGCGUGCAGGAAGAAGGCCUUCGGGUUGUAAACUGCUUUUGUACGGAACGAAACGGUCUGGGUUAAUACCCUGGGCUAAUGACGGUACCGUAAGAAUAAGCACCGGCUAACUACGUGCCAGCCGCCGCGGUAAGAC